GCGAACGCUGGCGGCAGGCCUAACACAUGCAAGUCGAACGAACCUUUCGGGGUUAGUGGCGGACGGGUGAGUAACACGUGGGAACGUGCCUUUAGGUUCGGAAUAACUCAGGGAAACUUGUGCUAAUACCGAAUGUGCCCUUCGGGGGAAAGAUUUAUCGCCUUUAGAGCGGCCCGCGUCUGAUUAGCUAGCUGGUUGAGGUAAUGGCUCACCAAGGCGACGAUCAGUAGCUGGUCUGAGAGGAUGAUCAGCCACAUUGGGACUGAGACACGGCCCAAACUCCUACGGGAGGCAGCAGUGGGGAAUCUUGCGCAAUGGGCGAAAGCCUGACGCAGCCAUGCCGCGUGAAUGAUGAAGGUCUUAGGAUUGUAAAAUUCUUUCACCGGGGACGAUAAUGACGGUACCCGGAGAAGAAGCCCCGGCUAACUUCGUG
rnacentral:rRNA from 1 species